rnacentral:rRNA from 1 species
GAUGAACGCUGGCGGCGUGCCUAAUACAUGCAAGUCGAGCGAACGGACGAGAAGCUUGCUUCUCUGAUGUUAGCGGCGGACGGGUGAGUAACACGUGGAUAACCUACCUAUAAGACUGGGAUAACUUCGGGAAACCGGAGCUAAUACCGGAUAAUAUUUUGAACCGCAUGGUUCAAAAGUGAAAGACGGUCUUGCUGUCACUUACAGAUGGAUCCGCGCUGCAUUAGCUAGUUGGUAAGGUAACGGCUUACCAAGGCAACGAUGCAUAGCCGACCUGAGAGGGUGAUCGGCCACACUGGAACUGAGACACGGUCCAGACUCCUACGGGAGGCAGCAGUAGGGAAUCUUCCGCAAUGGGCGAAAGCCUGACGGAGCAACGCCGCGUGAGUGAUGAAGGUCUUCGGAUCGUAAAACUCUGUUAUUAGGGAAGAACAUAUGCGUAAGUAACUGUGCACAUCUUGACGGUACCUAAUCAGAAAGCCACGGCUAACUACGUG